rnacentral:tRNA from 1 species
CUCGGUGUAGGCUAGCCUGGUUUAAGUCGCUUCGUUUGGGACGAAGAGAUCGCUGGUUCGAAUCCAGCCACCGAGACCA